AGCGUACACGGUGGAUGCCCUGGCAGUCAGAGGCGAUGAAGGACGUGCUAAUCUGCGAUAAGCGUCGGUAAGGUGAUAUGAACCGUUAUAACCGGCGAUUUCCGAAUGGGGAAACCCAGUGUGUUUCGACACACUAUCAUUAACUGAAUCCAUAGGUUAAUGAGGCGAACCGGGGGAACUGAAACAUCUAAGUACCCCGAGGAAAAGAAAUCAACCGAGAUUCCCCCAGUAGCGGCGAGCGAACGGGGAGGAGCCCAGAGUCUGAAUCAGUGUGUGUGUUAGUGGAAGCGUCUGGAAAGGCGCGCGAUACAGGGUGACAGCCCCGUACACAAAAAUGCACAUACUGUGAGCUCGAUGAGUAGGGCGGGACACGUGGUAUCCUGUCUGAAUAUGGGGGGACCAUCCUCCAAGGCUAAAUACUCCUGACUGACCGAUAGUGAACCAGUACCGUGAGGGAAAGGCGAAAAGAACCCCGGCGAGGGGAGUGAAAAAGAACCUGAAACCGUGUACGUACAAGCAGUGGGAGCCUCUUUUAUGGGGUGACUGCGUACCUUUUGUAUAAUGGGUCAGCGACUUAUAUUCUGUAGCAAGGUUAACCGAAUAGGGGAGCCGAAGGGAAACCGAGUCUUAACUGGGCGUUAAGUUGCAGGGUAUAGACCCGAAACCCGGUGAUCUAGCCAUGGGCAGGUUGAAGGUUGGGUAACACUAACUGGAGGACCGAACCGACUAAUGUUGAAAAAUUAGCGGAUGACUUGUGGCUGGGGGUGAAAGGCCAAUCAAACCGGGAGAUAGCUGGUUCUCCCCGAAAGCUAUUUAGGUAGCGCCUCGUGAAUUCAUCUCCGGGGGUAGAGCACUGUUUCGGCAAGGGGGUCAUCCCGACUUACCAACCCGAUGCAAACUGCGAAUACCGGAGAAUGUUAUCACGGGAGACACACGGCGGGUGCUAACGUCCGUCGUGAAGAGGGAAACAACCCAGACCGCCAGCUAAGGUCCCAAAGUCAUGGUUAAGUGGGAAACGAUGUGGGAAGGCCCAGACAGCCAGGAUGUUGGCUUAGAAGCAGCCAUCAUUUAAAGAAAGCGUAAUAGCUCACUGGUCGAGUCGGCCUGCGCGGAAGAUGUAACGGGGCUAAACCAUGCACCGAAGCUGCGGCAGCGACGCUUAUGCGUUGUUGGGUAGGGGAGCGUUCUGUAAGCCUGCGAAGGUGUGCUGUGAGGCAUGCUGGAGGUAUCAGAAGUGCGAAUGCUGACAUAAGUAACGAUAAAGCGGGUGAAAAGCCCGCUCGCCGGAAGACCAAGGGUUCCUGUCCAACGUUAAUCGGGGCAGGGUGAGUCGACCCCUAAGGCGAGGCCGAAAGGCGUAGUCGAUGGGAAACAGGUUAAUAUUCCUGUACUUGGUGUUACUGCGAAGGGGGGACGGAGAAGGCUAUGUUGGCCGGGCGACGGUUGUCCCGGUUUAAGCGUGUAGGCUGGUUUUCCAGGCAAAUCCGGAAAAUCAAGGCUGAGGCGUGAUGACGAGGCACUACGGUGCUGAAGCAACAAAUGCCAUGCUUCCAGGAAAAGCCUCUAAGCAUCAGGUAACAUCAAAUCGUACCCCAAACCGACACAGGUGGUCAGGUAGAGAAUACCAAGGCGCUUGAGAGAACUCGGGUGAAGGAACUAGGCAAAAUGGUGCCGUAACUUCGGGAGAAGGCACGCUGAUAUGUAGGUGAAGCGACUUGCUCGUGGAGCUGAAAUCAGUCGAAGAUACCAGCUGGCUGCAACUGUUUAUUAAAAACACAGCACUGUGCAAACACGAAAGUGGACGUAUACGGUGUGACGCCUGCCCGGUGCCGGAAGGUUAAUUGAUGGGGUCAGCGCAAGCGAAGCUCUUGAUCGAAGCCCCGGUAAACGGCGGCCGUAACUAUAACGGUCCUAAGGUAGCGAAAUUCCUUGUCGGGUAAGUUCCGACCUGCACGAAUGGCGUAAUGAUGGCCAGGCUGUCUCCACCCGAGACUCAGUGAAAUUGAACUCGCUGUGAAGAUGCAGUGUACCCGCGGCAAGACGGAAAGACCCCGUGAACCUUUACUAUAGCUUGACACUGAACAUUGAGCCUUGAUGUGUAGGAUAGGUGGGAGGCUUAGAAGUGUGGACGCCAGUCUGCAUGGAGCCGACCUUGAAAUACCACCCUUUAAUGUUUGAUGUUCUAACGUUGACCCGUAAUCCGGGUUGCGGACAGUGUCUGGUGGGUAGUUUGACUGGGGCGGUCUCCUCCUAAAGAGUAACGGAGGAGCACGAAGGUUGGCUAAUCCUGGUCGGACAUCAGGAGGUUAGUGCAAUGGCAUAAGCCAGCUUGACUGCGAGCGUGACGGCGCGAGCAGGUGCGAAAGCAGGUCAUAGUGAUCCGGUGGUUCUGAAUGGAAGGGCCAUCGCUCAACGGAUAAAAGGUACUCCGGGGAUAACAGGCUGAUACCGCCCAAGAGUUCAUAUCGACGGCGGUGUUUGGCACCUCGAUGUCGGCUCAUCACAUCCUGGGGCUGAAGUAGGUCCCAAGGGUAUGGCUGUUCGCCAUUUAAAGUGGUACGCGAGCUGGGUUUAGAACGUCGUGAGACAGUUCGGUCCCUAUCUGCCGUGGGCGCUGGAGAACUGAGGGGGGCUGCUCCUAGUACGAGAGGACCGGAGUGGACGCAUCACUGGUGUUCGGGUUGUCAUGCCAAUGGCACUGCCCGGUAGCUAAAUGCGGAAGAGAUAAGUGCUGAAAGCAUCUAAGCACGAAACUUGCCCCGAGAUGAGUUCU
rnacentral:rRNA from 1 species